rnacentral:rRNA from 1 species
GUCGAACGAUGAACCUCGCUUGCGGGGGGAUUAGUGGCGAACGGGUGAGUAACACGUGAGUAACCUGCCCUUAACUCUGGGAUAAGCCUUGGAAACGAGGUCUAAUACUGGAUAUUGACUUUACCUCGCAUGGGGUUUUGUUGAAAGAUUUAUUGGUUUUGGAUGGACUCGCGGCCUAUCAGCUUGUUGGUGAGGUAAUGGCUCACCAAGGCGACGACGGGUAGCCGGCCUGAGAGGGUGACCGGCCACACUGGGACUGAGACACGGCCCAGACUCCUACGGGAGGCAGCAGUGGGGAAUAUUGCACAAUGGGCGAAAGCCUGAUGCAGCGACGCCGCGUGAGGGAUGACGGCCUUCGGGUUGUAAACCUCUUUCAGUAGGGAACAAGGCCAGCAUUUUUGUUGGUUGAGGGUACUUGCAGAAGAAGCGCCGGCUAACUACGUGCCAGCAGCCGCGGUAAUACGUAGGGCGCAAGCGUUAUCCGGAAUUAUUGGGCGUAAAGAGCUCGUAGGCGGUUUGUCGCGUCUGCCGUGAAAGUCCGGGGCUCAACCCCGGAUCUGCGGUGGGUACGGGCAGACUAGAGUGAUGUAGGGGAGACUGGAAUUCCUGGUGUAGCGGUGAAAUGCGCAGAUAUCAGGAGGAACACCGAUGGCGAAGGCAGGUCUCUGGGCAUUAACUGACGCUGAGGAGCGAAAGCAUGGGGAGCGAACAGGAUUAGAUACCCUGGUAGUCCAUGCCGUAAACGUUGGGCACUAGGUGUGGGGGACAUUCCACGUUUUCCGCGCCGUAGCUAACGCAUUAAGUGCCCCGCCUGGGGAGUACGGCCGCAAGGCUAAAACUCAAAGGAAUUGACGGGGGCCCGCACAAGCGGCGGAGCAUGCGGAUUAAUUCGAUGCAACGCGAAGAACCUUACCAAGGCUUGACAUGAACCGGAAAUACCUGGAAACAGGUGCCCCGCUUGCGGUCGGUUUACAGGUGGUGCAUGGUUGUCGUCAGCUCGUGUCGUGAGAUGUUGGGUUAAGUCCCGCAACGAGCGCAACCCUCGUU